AGUGAACGCUGGCGGCAGGCCUAACACAUGCAAGUCGAACGGCAGCACAGUAAGAGCUUGCUCUUACGGGUGGCGAGUGGCGGACGGGUGAGGAAUACAUCGGCAUCUACUAUUUCGUGGGGGACAACGUAGGGAAACUUAUGCUACUACCGAAUACAACCAACGGCUGAAAGCAGGGGAUCUUCGGACCUUGCGCGACUGAAUGAGCCGGUGCCGCAUUAGCUAGUUGGCGGGGUAAAGGCCCACCAAGGCGACGAUCCGUAGCUGAUCUGAGAGGAUGAUCAGCCACACUGGAACUGAGACACGGUCCAGACUCCUACGGGAGGCAGCAGUGGGGAAUAUUGGACAAUGGGCGCAAGCCUGAUCCAGCCAUACCGCGUGGGUGAAGAAGGCCUUCGGGUUGUAAAGCCCUUUUGUUGGGAAAGAAAAGCAGCAUGUUAAUACCCCGCUGUUCUGACGGUACCCAAAGAAUAAGCACCGGCUAACUUCGUG
rnacentral:rRNA from 1 species